CGGCCUACCCAGAGCUACAUGGUAUUGCUGUCCUCACCACUGUGUUCAUUACCUUGCAGUCAGGAGCAAUCAUGACUGUGCUUGCAGCAGUCUGCACCAAGAUCCCAGAAGGGAGACUCGCCAUCAUCUUCCUCCCGGUCUUCACCUUCACAGCAGGCAAUGCCUUAAAAGCCAUCAUUGCUAUGGAUACAGCUGGGAUGAUCCUGGGAUGGAAAUUUUUUGAUCAUGCAGCACAUCUUGGGGGAGCUCUC